rnacentral:lncRNA from 1 species
UGUGGGGAUGUGGGGCGUGGUGAUGAAACGGUAUGCAUGAAGGCUGGAAGGGUGGCAUGAGUGGUAUGAAGAUUAAAAACGGGGUAAAAUGAAGGUGGUCGUGUGCAUAUGGUGGGUUAGAGGAAUAGGUUAGCAUGAGAGAGGUGAUAAAGGAAAUGGGUUUACAAGAUUGGGUGGCGAGCGAAACUUUGGGUAGUGAGAUAAAUGGGUUGGGUGGU